rnacentral:lncRNA from 13 species
UUCUGAAAUGCAAUGAUUAUCUUUCCCAAUGAUUUUAUUAGGCCAGGAUCCCUAGAAGCAGAGCCUGAAACUGGGAAACUUGUUCAAAUAUUUUAUUGAGGGUAAUGUUUUCAGAAGAAGGGGAGUGAAAGAAACAAGCGGGGAAUGCACGGCUGACUACAUCACUGCUUUCAGAGCGCUGUCCUGCGCACUUGUCACAGAACCUCCAGGUCAGUUUCAGGUUUACUCUUGAAGAAAUGGAGUAGAAGAUAAAAUAGAAAAUAAUUGGGUAAUGCCACUCUAGACAAAGUGAUUGUUUUUCUGCAUAUAAUACAAAUAUAAAAAAUGGAACAAGUUUACAUUGUAACUUGUUACCUUCAACUCCCCAAGCAUGCUACUGGCAAGACAAUGCCAUCUCAGCUAACC